AGCUUUAUAGUUUAAUUAAAACAUUAAAUUGCAAGUUUAAUAAUAGAUAUUCAAUCUUAAAGCUU
rnacentral:tRNA from 1 species